rnacentral:tRNA from 1 species
CGGGUGUAGCUCAAUGGUAGAGCCCUAGCCUUCCAAGCUAGUCACGUGAGUUCGAUUCUCAUCACCC